CGGACGGGUGAGUAAUGUCUGGGAAACUGCCUGAUGGAGGGGGGUAACUACUGGAAACGGUAGCUAAUACCGCAUAACGUCGCAAGACCAAAGAGGGGGACCGUUCGGGCCUCUUGCCAUCGGAUGUGCCCAGAUGGGAUUAGCUAGUAGGUGGGGUAACGGCUCACCUAGGCGACGAUCCUUAGCUGGUCUGAGAGGAUGACCAGCCACACUGGAACUGAGACACGGUCCAG
rnacentral:rRNA from 1 species